GGAAAUGUAGCUCAGUGGUAGAGUACUUACCUAGCACAGUGUGAGACUAUGGGUUCAAUUCCCAGCACCA
rnacentral:tRNA from 1 species